GCGUGCCAUCGUCCCCUCAGCAUCAAUUGUAAUCAUCUCCUCCUCGUCCUCGGCCAAGGCGACAGCGACCGCAGUUAGCGCCGAGGGG
rnacentral:ribozyme from 1 species